GAUGAACGCUAGCGGCAGGCUUAAUACAUGCAAGUCGAGGGACAGCACAGGUAGCAAUACUGGGUGGUAACCGGCAAACGGGUGCGGAACACGUACACAACCUUCCUUUAAGUGGGGGAUAGCCCAGAGAAAUUUGGAUUAAUACCCCGUAAUAUAGUUGAAUGGCAUCAUUUGAUUAUUAUAGCUACGGCGCUUAAUGAUGGGUGUGCGGCUGAUUAGAUAGCUGGCGGGGUAACGGCCCACCAAGUCUACGAUCAGUAGCUGAUGUGAGAGCAUGAUCAGCCACACGGGCACUGAGACACGGGCCCGACUCCUACGGGAGGCAGCAGUAAGGAAUAUUGGUCAAUGGACGCAAGUCUGAACCAGCCAUGCCGCGUGAAGGAUUAAGGUCCUCUGGAUUGUAAACUUCUUUUAUUUGGGACGAAAAAGGGUCUUUCUAGAUCAACUGACGGUACCAGAUGAAUAAGCACCGGCUAACUCCGUGCCAGCCGCCGCAGUAACAC
rnacentral:rRNA from 1 species